GGGUCUGGGAAGCGGUUUCUCCUGCUAGGCCCUAGCGGGACUGGAUUCUUUCCACUGUUAGUACUGGCCUGAGACCCACGUGGCAGAAGAGCCAACUGCUGUAGAACGUGGAAAAACGAAUGCUUUAGCAGAAGUAGCAAGCAUCUAAAGAUCCAUCAGAGGGCCUGUGCAAUUGCCAGAGAGGGAGAGAAAGAGACAGCUGGGUACCAUAAUGGUGCUUCGCCAUUUCUCCACUCUGUGAGGAUUCCAGGCAUGUGCAAAAACAUCAAUGCAUGCCAGGUGUGUUUUUCAAGGCCCCAGACUGGGAUUGGAACCUCAAGAGAGACAGAGCGAAAGACAGUGUCCUGAACUGGAUCUGCAUGGUGUGACCCACCUGUGGUCUGCAGCCAGCCCUGGGUCACAGAUCUUCACGGAGCUCAUCUCCAGCUCACCGCCUGUGCCUCGUAGCACUUGGCUCCCUCUUGCCCUUGCA